GCCGCAGUGAGGAGCCGGCCAGGCCCCGCCCCGCCCCGCCCGCCCCGGCCAUGGCCGACCCGGCCCCCGCCCGCAGCCUGGAUGACAUCGACCUCUCCGCCCUCAGGGACCCUGCCGGCAUAUUCGAACUGGUGGAGGUGGUCGGGAACGGGACAUAUGGACAGGUCUACAAGGGCCGCCAUGUCAAGACAGGGCAGCUGGCAGCCAUCAAAGUCAUGGACGUCACCGAGGACGAGGAGGAGGAAAUCAAGCAGGAGAUCAACAUGCUGAAGAAAUACUCCCACCACCGCAACAUCGCCACCUACUACGGCGCCUUCAUCAAGAAGAGCCCGGCCGGGAACGACGACCAGCUGUGGCUGGUGAUGGAGUUCUGCGGGGCCGGCUCCGUCACGGACCUGGUCAAGAACACGAAGGGCAACGCGCUGAAGGAGGACUGCAUCGCCUACAUCUGCCGGGAGAUCCUGCGGGGCCUGGCUCACCUCCACGCCCACAAGGUGAUCCACCGGGACAUCAAAGGGCAGAACGUGCUGCUGACGGAGAACGCCGAGGUGAAGCUGGUGGAUUUUGGGGUGAGCGCCCAGCUGGACCGGACGGUGGGGCGCAGGAAUACCUUCAUCGGCACCCCCUACUGGAUGGCCCCCGAGGUGAUCGCCUGUGAUGAGAACCCCGACGCCACCUACGACUACAGGAGCGACAUCUGGUCCCUGGGCAUCACUGCUAUCGAGAUGGCUGAGGGAGCACCACCUCUGUGUGACAUGCACCCGAUGCGAGCGCUCUUCCUCAUCCCCCGCAACCCACCGCCCAAGCUCAAGUCCAAGAAAUGGUCCAAGAAAUUCAUCGACUUCAUAGACACCUGCCUGAUCAAAGCCUACAUGAGCCGUCCGCCCACAGAGCAGCUGCUGAAAUUCCCCUUCAUCCGUGACCAGCCCACGGAGCGCCAGGUCCGCAUCCAGCUCAAGGACCACAUCGACCGCUCCCGGAAGAAGAGAGGAGAGAAGGAUGAGACGGAGUACGAGUACAGCGGCAGCGAGGAGGAGGAUGACAGCCACGGGGAGGAAGGGGAGCCCAGCUCCAUCAUGAACGUGCCGGGCGAGUCGACGCUGCGGCGGGAGUUCCUGCGCCUGCAGCAGGAGAACAAGAGCCACUCGGAGGCGGCGCUGAAGCACCAGCAGCAGCUGGCGGCCCAGCACCGCGACUCCGAGGCCCACAUCAAACAGCUGCUGCACGAGCGCCAGCGCCGCAUCGAGGAGCAGAAGGAGGAGCGCCGGCGCGUGGAGGAGCAGCAGCGGCGGGAGCGGGAGCAGCGGAAGCUGCAGGAGAAGGAGCAGCGGCGGCUGGAGGACGUGCAGGUGCUGCGGCGGGAGGAGGAGCGCAGGCAGGCUGAGCGCGAGCAGGAGUACAAGCGGAAGCAGCUGGAGGAGCAGCGGCAGUCGGAGCGGCUCCAGCGCCAGCUGCAGCAGGAACACGCCUACCUGAAGUCCCUGCAGCAGCAGCAGCAGCUCCAGAAGCAGCAGCCGGGGGCGCCGGCGAGCGAGAAGAAACCGCUCUACCACUACAGCCGCGGCGCCGCCCACAGCGCCGACAAGCCCGCCUGGGCCCGCGAGGUGGAGGAGCGGACGCGGCUGAAUAAGCAGAACUCGCCGGCGGCGCAGACCAAGCUGGGCGGCACCGCCUCCGACUCAGCCCUGCAGACUCGCUCAGAGUCCGUGGCCCUGGGCUCUGGCCCCGCGGCCGAGAGCCCCCCCAUGCAGCGCCCUGUCGAGCCACAGGAGGGGCAGCACAAGAGCCACCUGGCGCACCGCGUCCCGCUGAAGCCCUACGCCGCGCCGGUGCCGCGCUCCCAGUCCCUGCAGGACCAGCCCACCAAGAACGUGGCGGCUUUCCCGGUGCAGGACCCGGCGCCGCCCCGCGCCCCCAUGAUCCGCCAGAACUCGGACCCCACCUCGGAGACCCCCGCCCCGCCCGCCCGGCCCGGCCCCGCCGACCCGCGGGGGCCCUGGGGCCACACCGAGCUCGAGGCCCCACCCAAGGUGCCCCAGCGAACGUCGUCCAUCGCCACCACGCUCAACGCCAGCGGGGCCGGGGGCGGCUCCCGGCAGGGCCAUGCCGUCAGAGCCAGCAACCCGGACCUGCGGCGCAGCGACCCCGGCUGGGAGCGAGCCGACAGCCUGCUGCAGGCGGGCAGUGCCAACCUGCCCCAAGCCGGCUCCCUGGAGCGCAACCGCAUAGGGGCCGCGUCCAAGAGGGAGAGCUCCCCCAUCCUGCCCCCGGUGAGCAAGCCCAAGGUGGAGGAUCACCGCUCGCGCCCCGGCCGGCCCGCGAGCUAUAAACGCGCCAUCGGCGAGAACUUUGUGCUGCUGAAGGAGCGGCCUGAGGAGCCUCCCAAGCCCCCCAAGAAGGCCAUGGACUAUUCCUCCUCCAGCGAGGAGCCGGACAGCAGCGAGGAGGAGGACGACGAGGCCGAGGGGGAGCCGCAGGACAGGGCAGGGGAGCCUGCCGGGGCCAGGCCGAGCAGGGACGGCGACACGGACAGCGUCAGCACCAUGGUGGUGCACGAGGUGGAGGAGCCGUCGGGCAGCGGGUCGGAGAGCGGCUCCUACGGUGGGGAUGGCACCAUGCUGGUCCAGCGGACCCCCGAGGAGGACCGCAGCCGGCUCCACGCCGACAGCAAUGGCUACACCAACCUGCCGGACGUGGUGCAGCCCAGCCACUCGCCCACCGAGCCCAAGGGCCAGGGCUCCCCCACCAAGGACAGCGUCGGCGACUACCAGUCGCGAGGGCUGGUCAAGGCCCCUGGCAAAAGCUCCUUCACCAUGUUUGUGGACCUGGGCAUCUACCAGACCACGGGCAGCGGGGACACCGUCCCCAUCACCGCGCUGGUGGGGGCCGACCCCAGGCAGCUGGAGCAGCUGCAGCUGGAGGUGCGCAAGGGCUCGGUGGUGAACGUGAACCCCACAAACACGCGGCCCCACAGCGACACCCCCGAGAUCCGCAAGUACAAGAAACGUUUCAACUCGGAGAUCCUGUGCGCUGCCCUGUGGGGGGUGAACCUGCUGGUGGGGACGGAGAACGGGCUGAUGCUGCUGGAUCGCAGCGGGCAGGGCCGGGUCUACGGCCUCAUCAGCCGGCGCCGCUUCCAGCAGAUGGACGUGCUGGAGGGGCUCAACCUGCUGACCACCAUCUCGGGGAAGAGAAACAAGCUGCGGGUCUAUUACCUGUCCUGGCUGCGCAACAAGAUCCUGCACAAUGACCCCGAGGUGGAGAAGAAGCAGGGCUGGACCACCGUGGGCGACAUGGAGGGCUGCGUGCACUACCGCAUGGUGAAGUACGAGCGUAUCAAGUUCCUGGUGAUCGCCCUGAAGAACUCGGUCGAGGUCUACGCCUGGGCCCCCAAACCCUACCACAAGUUCAUGGCCUUCAAGUCCUUCGCAGACUUGCCACACCGGCCGCUGCUGGUGGAGCUGACAGUGGAGGAGGGUCAGAGGUUAAAGGUCAUUUAUGGGUCGUGCGCCGGAUUCCACGCCAUUGACGUGGACUCAGGAAACAACUACGACAUCUACAUCCCCGUGCACAUCCAGACGCACGUCACGCCCCACGCCAUCAUCUUCCUGCCCCACACGGAGGGGAUGGAGAUGCUGCUCUGCUACGAGGACGAGGGCGUCUACGUCAACACCUACGGGCGCAUCAUCAAGGACGUGGUGCUGCAGUGGGGGGAGAUGCCCACUUCUGUGGCGUACAUCUGCUCCAACCAGAUCAUGGGCUGGGGGGAGAAGGCCAUCGAGAUCCGCUCCGUGGAGACGGGGCACCUGGACGGGGUUUUCAUGCACAAGCGGGCCCAGCGCCUCAAGUUCCUGUGCGAGCGCAACGACAAGGUUUUCUUCGCCUCCGUCCGCUCGGGGGGCAGCAGCCAGGUUUACUUCAUGACACUCAACAGAAACUGUAUCAUGAACUGGUAAGGCCCCGCCCCCAGCGUUGGCCCCGCCCCCAGCGUUGGCCCCGCCUCUGGAGGGAAGGGGCGGGGCCGCCUCAGACACUGGAUCCCUAUGCCAGAGGCUCCGCCCCCACCGCCAGCGAGGAUCAGGACCGACCAAUCAGCAGAACCGAUGCCUUGACCACCUUCCCCCUCACCUGUGUCUGAUGCUGCUUGGAGCGGGGGCCUCUCCAUGGUGACAGUGUCCCCCCCCUUUGACUGACAGCUGACUGACUGCCCCCCGCUUCGCUCGCCGCUCCCCUGACUCCGUGGGGACCUGCUCUGUUCAUAGCCUGACCGAAAUCUCCAUGCCGGGCCAGGGGACCCCGGGUAACCAGCCGCCCCGCCCCAGAGGUGGCUGCAUCUCAGCGCCGGGCGAGGGGUCCCAGGCAUGGGUGGGGUGACAGGCAAACUCCCCUGUGAAACAGAAGGAGGGAGGUGGCCAGAGGCCUAGGCUGGGGGCACGCAGUGCUGUCGCUGUGGGUCGCGGCACUGACCAUGGCCCCUGUGGUGGGGACUCGGAACGGCAGGGGGGCGCAGACCCAUUGCUUUGUGCCAAGUUCGCUUUGCUUAAAGGUGGAGGCGUGGGGCAAGGCUGGGGCCUUUUCAUCCCCCCGGGUGGGAGCCGUGGUGGUAGGGAACGCCCAGAGCAGCCCCCCAACUGCCUCGUGCACCCCCAUAUCUCCUCCCCUGGUCCGGGCAGAUGGGGCGACCUGCCGCAGGGGUCUGGGGAGGGCGAAUGUACAGGGGGACAUGGGGGGCCUGGCCCCUCUGGGCUCUGUGUAUAUUUUGCUUUAAUUAUUUUUAUUUUGUAACAAGGAUUCAUUAACAAAGCACUUUAAAGCCCCGACUGCGUCUUAUGGGGGGCCAGGAACGCCCCCCAGGGCAGAUUUGGGGUUAUUCUCAAACUGACCCAGGAGAGUUGGUCUUAGAGUGGAGACUGGCUGGCCCAGGGGGGGCGGGGAAUGGGGCAGGGGCCUGUCUCCUCGGGGGGGUGCCGGCCCCCCCAGCCCCACGU